CGAAUGCUAAUACUCUAUAUGCCUUUAAGACAAAAGUCUGCAAGGGAAAUAUUUAUAGCUCUAGGAUCGGCCUGUACGGUAUCAGUUAGUUGGUGAGGUAAUGGCUCACCAAGACAAUGACGCCUAACUGGUUUGAGAGGAUGAUCAGUCACACUGGAACUGAGACACGGUCCAGACUCCUACGGGAGGCAGCAGUGGGGAAUAUUGCACAAUGGGGGAAACCCUGAUGCAGCAACGCCGCGUGGAGGAUGACACAUUUCGGUGCGUAAACUCCUUUUAUAUAGGAAGAUAAUGACGGUACUAUAUGAAUAAGCGCCGGCUAACUCCGUGCCAGCAGCCGCGGUAAUACGGAGGGCGCAAGCGUUACUCGGAAUCACUGGGCGUAAAGAGCGUGUAGGCGGGUUAAUAAGUUUGAAGUGAAAUCCUAUGGCUCAACCAUAGAACUGCUUUGAAAACUGUUAACCUAGAAUAUGGGAGAGGUAGAUGGAAUUUCUGGUGUAGGGGUAAAAUCCGUAGAGAUCAGAAGGAAUACCGAUUGCGAAGGCGAUCUACUGGAACAUUAUUGACGCUGAGACGCGAAAGCGU
rnacentral:rRNA from 1 species